UACGAAGGGGGCUAGCGUUGUUCGGAAUUACUGGGCGUAAAGCGCACGUAGGCGGACAUUUAAGUCAGGGGUGAAAUCCCAGAGCUCAACUCUGGAACUGCCUUUGAUACUGGGUGUCUUGAGUCCGGAAGAGGUGAGUGGAAUUCCGAGUGUAGAGGUGAAAUUCGUAGAUAUUCGGAGGAACACCAGUGGCGAAGGCGGCUCACUGGUCCGGUACUGACGCUGAGGUGCGAAAGCGUGGGGAGCAAACAGG
rnacentral:rRNA from 1 species